rnacentral:other from 1 species
CAUAAGCUGCAUUGUUCGUUUCUAUAAUAAAGUUUUAACCGUUAAGCUGUAAUAGGGAGUUUUAUAUCGGAACAGGAAUGACAAGCCUCUGUCUAAAUGACAGGGAGGACAUGCAGGAAUGUUUCUGCGGACACCCACUUUGAGGAGUGGUGGUUUAAAACUUUCUUAUCUUAAUACGGCAAAGGCGGCUUUACC